GUAUUGUAUUGCGUUAAACGCGGUGCGCAUUCCAUAAGACUUUAUUACAGGGUGUGUGUAAAGGUGUAGAACCACAGCAGGGGGGACAGAGUCCCCCAAGCCAUAGAACUACGUUGGGUGCACAGGUGUGAGUGGAUGUGUAAACAGAGCGUGCACAUGCCCCCGUUUGGGGACCAGCAACAACUCGUGUCAACAAUUCAGUAAUGAUCCUUCCGCAGGUUCACCUACGGAAA
rnacentral:misc_RNA from 1 species